GAACUCCCUCCCGUCACUCUUCCACCCCAAAUUUAUUAAACCAUAUUUUAUGCAAUUUCUCUCUCUCCCUCCCACCAACUUAGAGCGAAUUAUCGGCGGUGUAUCGGCAGAUUGUUGUCAAGUUUCUCUUCUCUCCUCUCUUAUUCUUUCAUUCCCACUUCUCGCCAAGGCCCUCGAUUGGCCUGUGAGACGGUGGCGUUGAUUGCGAAGAAACUACCAAGCUUCUGUUGCCCGAUGAAGUCUGUUGGCAAGGAGUUCUUCCUCCCCCGUUGUGCUUUUAUGAUGUCAACUCCCAUCUCCAAACAAGGUUUAGCCAGGUCCUCUCUAUUUCUCUAUGUUUUGAUUACUUAUUCAUGUGGAUCUAAGGUUUCACUGUUGGUUCGCAUUUUCUCUGUCAAUAUAGUUGGUGGAUCUUUCGUUAACUUGCUUUUUUCUUCUUCAAAGAUUGUAUAUAUUUUCUGCUAGAAGGAAUGGUUUCAUUUGUGGUUAAAAAUUAGCUGACAAGCAAGAGAUAUGUAUAGAAUAAGAGGUUUUUUGGUCAUUACUACUAUAUGAUCUAAUGGAACUGUGAAAUUCACUUGUAUUGGUCGAAGGAUUGGAUUGUUCUUAUAGAAUUGACUAUAGUACAUGUGAAGUGAUAUUAUUCUGUUUUUCUUCCUAGGUGAUAAGAGAAUGACAUUUUUUAUAGAAAGAAAGAUGUGCUUGCCGCUUCUUCCUUUUUCCCCGGCUUCGCAAAUUAAUAAGGAUUUUGUUUCAAUUUUAAUUCCACUCAUAUUUUCUUGUGCUUUUACCGUUCCUUGCGUGGUUUUGGUACUUAGAAUUUGCACGAUUAGUUCUUAACUUUUUUUUUUCUAGUACUCUACUAUGAGAUACUGAAAGCUGAAGUGAGAAAUUGUCCUUUUAUGUUUGUCCAUAAGAUAUUUGAUAUUUAUUUUAAGUAAACCUCACCGACAUCUCUUGCUCAUGGAUGGUAGGUGAGAGCUGAAGAGCUUGAAUUAUCAUCGGCUAUUUGGAUAUGUCAACCUAAAAAAAAUAAGCAUUAACAAAAAAGAAAAAUAUUGACAAUGUGGAGUUGGAUAUGCGCAACACGCAAAUAGGUAUGCUGAUAAUGUAGCUACUUUAUGCUUUAGUUUGGUGUGCCGGAACGUGCUACGUUAUCUUGUGCACCGAGGAGGCUUAUUCUCUGACUUAUGACUUGAUGAUGUUAUUAUUGUAUUCUUUUGAGAAGUAUGAACUGUUCACGUAAUUAGCGAGUAUCAUUAAUAAUUCUUGCUUCUAUUACCUCGCCGAGGUUAGUUAAUACUUGGUAAGUACAUGGGGUCAGUUAUAUUAAUGCUACACUCUGCACUUAAUUUUGCAGAUCCAAGUGUUGGACCGACUCGUGGCUAGCUGUGAGUUGUUGUUGUAAGCAUCUUCCAAGGACGAGGUAGAGUUGCAUCUCGAUCGCAGCCUUUGGGUGUUUCUUGUCAUUUUAGUACUAUUCUUUACUUUCAUACAAUAUUUCAUUUUGUGUUCCAGAUGUGUACUUCAAUUUAGAGCUCAUGGCUCUAUAUUUAUCAGUUAUGGGGGAGGGUACUUAUCGAUGCAGUUCAUUUAUUUUGUUGGCUUUAGACUUAUGCUAUUUCCACUAUUUCUAUUAUUAUAUUCCGCUUGUGUUAUGUUGACC
rnacentral:lncRNA from 1 species